UNCCUUAGGACAGGGACCAGUCUAGAGUGU
rnacentral:piRNA from 1 species